rnacentral:rRNA from 1 species
CGGGACGGGUGAGUAACGCGUGGGUAACCUGCCUCACACAGGGGGAUAACAGUUGGAAACGGCUGCUAAUACCGCAUAAGCGCACAGUACCGCAUGGUACAGUGUGAAAAACUCCGGUGGUGUGAGAUGGACCCGCGUCUGAUUAGCUAGUUGGCAGGGUAACGGCCUACCAAGGCAACGAUCAGUAGCCGACCUGAGAGGGUGACCGGCCACAUUGGGACUGAGACACGGCCCAG